rnacentral:tRNA from 1 species
GGAGAGGUGGCCGAGUGGUCUAAGGCGCACGCCUGGAGAGCGUGUAUACCGCGUGAAACGGUAUCGAGGGUUCGAAUCCCUCUCUCUCCG